rnacentral:rRNA from 1 species
UACGUAGGAGGCGAGCGUUGUCCGGAAUUACUGGGCGUAAAGCGCGUGUAGGCGGUUGGGACAGUCUGUUGUGAAAGCGCAUGGCUUAACUGUGCGAGGUCAAUGGAUACUGCCCGACUUGAGGACGGUAGAGGGGGGUGGAAUUCCCGGUGUAGUGGUGAAAUGCGUAGAGAUCGGGAGGAACACCAGUGGCGAAGGCGGCUACCUGGACCAGCACUGACACUGAAGCACGAAAGCGUGGGGAGCAAACAGG